UUGCCUCGCAACAGCAACAAUGCAACUCUCGUUCCCAAAGUCAAAGCCAACCACGCUCAUCUUUAGCUGGGCAGACCAAUUCAGGCAACAAAUAGGCUGAUUGGCAGGAGUAAAAAGUGUUGAUUUCCUGGUAAAUGAGGAGGAGGAGGAGGGAAGGACAGAGAUCACCAAGUGCCUGACGGGGGGGUCUCGCGACGGUGCAGAGAGGGUCUCUAGAAUUCUCCAAAGAAGUGGGCCUUUUAUACGAGGGAGGGAGGGAGGGAGGGAGGCAAACGUUGUUGGCGUCGAGGGUCACGGUAGGGGCGCCCCGCCUCUUCUAGAAACUUCUUUGAACGUGAAUGACUUUUCUCGCCCUUUUCUCCCUCUCUCUCUCUCUCUCUCACUCCUUUUCUUUUAACGUAAAAAGAAAAAAGAUGGAGGAUGUUUUCUUUUUAGAUGGUCCCCUGUGAAAAAUUAUUUCAUGAAUUCCUUUUUAUUUAACAUUUAAUUGAAUCCAAUGUUU